AACGAACGCUGGCGGCGCGCUUAACACAUGCAAGUCGAACGAGAAGCUGUAGCAAUACAGUUGUAAAGUGGCAAACGGGUGAGUAAUGCGUGGGUAAUCUACCCUAGGGUGGGGAAUAACUCCUCGAAAGGGGAGCUAAUGCCGACAUGUGCGCCACUCUCGCAAAGGGAGUGAUGGAAAGCCGUACCGUGGGUGCGGCGCCCAAGGAUGAGCUCACGUCCUAUCAGCUUGUUGGCGGGGUAACGGCCCACCAAGGCUGCGACGGGUAGCUGGUCUGAGAGGACGACCAGCCACACUGGCACUGCGACACGGGCCAGACUCCUACGGGAGGCAGCAGUGAGGAAUAUUGCGCAAUGGACGACAGUCUGACGCAGCGACGCCGCGUGGGGGAGUGAAGGCUCGGUU
rnacentral:rRNA from 1 species